rnacentral:tRNA from 1 species
GUAUCGAUUCAUAGCCUAGUGGUGUAUGGUGUUGCUGCCUGUUGAGAGGGCGCGGGUUCGAUCCCCCCUCGACACU